GACGACAUGACUGCGCCUCUGUUUCCAGGGCAGAGGAUGUCUCCAGCCAAAGCUCUGACUAUGAAAGAUUACGAGAAUAUGUUGAAGUGAAAAACGCUUGGAGUACAAUGACGCACAGUUCACUGCCCUGCCAGCCUCUCUCUCGCUCUCUCUCUCUCUCACACACACACACACACACACACACACUCAUGCCAACCCUCAUUACUGACCCACACAGCCUGUUAUAGUCGCUCUGUUUUUUUUUGGCUCUCGUCUCCUCCC